GGGUUGCGCUGCUGAGACGCUGCGCGGCGGAGGAUCCGACGAACAAAGAUUUUCGCCGAGCUCCUCACCUGCCAGGACCCAGUGAUGACGCUGAAGAUGCACCGCAUGCCGGAGCCGGGUUGCGCUGCUGAGACGCUGCGCGGCUGAGGAUCCGACGAACAAAGAUUUUCGCCAAGCUCCUCACCUGCCAGGACCCAGUGAUGACGCUGAAGAUGCACCACAUGCCGUGAGUAGUUCCACUUUUAAGUCUUCGGCGCACGAGAGAUGAGCAUAGUUCCAUGACAAUGUAGCCCGUUUUUUUAAAUACCCUAAAACUGCUUCGGCAGUCAAGGGCAAAGGUGAGCCUUUUCAAAAUGUGCCCACUUUACACUGACCGCCGUUGUGCCCAUAAGGCCCUCUGGUUUAGGUCGCUCCAUGGUGCUGCCAUUAGAUUUGCAUGGGCCGCAGCUCGCCCAGGGUCUCAUCCCAGAGUUAGAAGCAGGGCCUGCACUGGAUAAACAGGAAUGGCCUUGCUUUUGAAACGCAGUUGGCAGUUGGCGAUGGAGCUCGCCCAGGGUCUCAUCUUAGAGUUAGAAGCAGGGCCUGCACUGGAUAAACAGGAAUGGCCUUGGUUUUGAAACGGAGUAGGCAGUUGGGGAUGGAGGACGUGCGCGGGCCACAGCUCGCCCAGGGUCUCAUCCUAGAGUUAGAAGCAGGGCCUGCACUGGAUAAACAGGAAUGGCCCUGCUUCUGAAAGGCAGAAGCGUGUAAUUGUAAGAACCUUUUUUACAGCACCGACGCUUUCACUCAUACUGUGGUGAAGCGGCAUGGGUUUUUAUUAGAGAUAGUUAUUCUUUGUCUAAGAGGCACACGAAAAUAAUGGCCAUUAGGCCUUACUCUUUCUUUUAAAAAUGAAUGGCUUACACAUUUAAUGGCAGGGUGGUUGGUUGGUCGGGCCAUACAUGUCUUUGGAAUUUUGCCCAUCUCUGGACAUACCACUGCGUCGUGGUGUCGAAGCAUCGACACCAUGACGCAGCGCCUUGUUUCUUUCACAGGGAGCCGGGUUGCGCUGCUGAGACGCUGCGCGGCGGAGGAUCCGACGAACAAAGAUUUUCGCCGAGCUCCUCACCUGCCAGGACCCAGUGAUGACGCUGAAGAUGCACCGCAUGCCGGAGCCGGGUUGCGCUGCUGAGACGCUGCGCGGCGGAGGAUCCGACGAACAAAGAUUUUCGCCGAGCUCCUCACCUGCCAGGACCCAGUGAUGACGCUGAAGAUGCACCGCAUGCCGGAGCCGGGUUGCGCUGCUGAGACGCUGCGCGGCGGAGGAUCCGACGAACAAAGAUUUUCGCCGAGCUCCUCACCUGCCAGGACCCAGUGAUGACGCUGAAGAUGCACCGC